CGGCGGACGGGUGAGUAACGCGUGGGUAACCUGCCUCAUACAGGGGGAUAACAGUUGGAACGGCUGCUAAUACCGCAUAAGCGCACAGUACCGCAUGGUACGGUGUGAAAAACUCCGGUGGUAUGAGAUGGACCCGCGUCUGAUUAGGUAGUUGGUGGGGUAACGGCCUACCAAGCCGACGAUCAGUAGCCGACCUGAGAGGGUGACCGGCCACAUUGGGACUGAGACACGGCCCAA
rnacentral:rRNA from 1 species